rnacentral:sRNA from 1 species
GUUGGGAUUGGGGUUGGGGUCCACCACAGCAGUGUGGGCCCACUCGGUUUGUUCCGCGAUGCCUUUUGUGUGGUCUGUACAGAGCACCUGCUAUUUGUCCGUGGAUAUACGCUGUAUAGAUAUGGAUAUACUUAAACAUAUACUGUACAUAUAUAUCUACUGGUAACUGGUAGUUGCUGGUACCGAUUGUAUUACGUAGUUCAUAUGGCAUCCAUUAGUCAUGGAGGCGCGGGCAGACAGACAAAGGAAAGGAGAGGAGUAGAUAUGAGAGGAGACGAGAGGAGAGACAACAAUGGGUGCGUGGAUUAAGUGGGUUAAGUGGGUUAAGUGGGUUAAGUGGAUUAAGUGGAUUGGUGGAUUGCUUCUCCUUCUCUAUCUCUCUCUCGCUUUUCCCUUCCCUCCCUUCCCCCCCCGUUCACCCAUUCGUUGCCGGGACUUGCUUGCUUGCCUGGCCCCCUAACCCCUUUGUUCUUCCCUUCUCCCCUCUCCCGCUCUCCCCGGUCCCCGUUUAUUUUCAUUUUCAUUUCUCAUUUCUCAUUUCCAUUUCAAUUUCAAUUUUCCAUCUUCCAUUGCUCGGAGAUAGGUUUUUUUUUUUUUUUUUAAAAAAAAAAAAAAAAAAAAAAAAAAAAAAAAAAAAAAAAAAAAGAAAGAAAGAAAGAAAAAAAACUCCCGUCCAAGGGCUGGCUGGAGCUGGUGUUUCAUUCCAUCAUUAGCGUGUUGCGAAAAAAGCGCUCCCCCCACUUGGGCGGGUGGCCACUUGGGGCCGGAAAAUGCAGACUAACUGCGCGUGGAAUGGAAGCUGAGUG